rnacentral:rRNA from 1 species
GUGUCAGCAGCCGCGGUAAGACGAGGGGUCCAAGCGUUGUUCGGAAUUAUUGGGCGUAAAGCGGGUGUAGGUGGCUCUAUAAGUCAGGAGUGAAAUCCCCGAGCUUAACUCGGGAAGUGCUUUUGAUACUGCAGAGCUUGAAUGUGGGAGAGGAUAAUAGAAUUCCAGGUGUAGUGGUGAAAUACGUAGAUAUCUGGAGGAAUACCGGUGGCGAAGGCGGUUAUCUGGCCCAACAUUGACACUGAGACCCGAAAGCGUGGGGAUCAAACAGGAUUAGAUACCCUGGUAGUCCACGCCGUAAACGAUGGAUACUUGUUGUUGGAGGUAUUGACCCCUUCAGUGACGAAGCUAACGCGUUAAGUAUCCCGCCUGGGGAGUACGGCCGCAAGGUUAAA